UAUCUAUACAUACAAAUACUGCAGAAAG
rnacentral:sRNA from 1 species